rnacentral:rRNA from 1 species
CGGGCAUGCCUAAUACAUGCCAAGUCGAACGAUCCUUUCGGGGAUAGUGGCGCACGGGUGCGUAACGCGUGGGAAUCUGCCCUUGGGUUCGGAAUAACUUCGGGAAACUGAAGCUAAUACCGGAUGAUGACGAAAGUCCAAAGAUUUAUCGCCCAGGGAUGAGCCCGCGUAGGAUUAGCUAGUUGGUGGGGUAAAGGCCUACCAAGGCGACGAUCCUUAGCUGGUCUGAGAGGAUGAUCAGCCACACUGGGACUGAGACACGGCCCAGACUCCUACGGGAGGCAGCAGUAGGGAAUAUUGGACAAUGGGCGAAAGCCUGAUCCAGCAAUGCCGCGUGAGUGAUGAAGGCCUUAGGGUUGUAAAGCUCUUUUACCCGAGAUGAUAAUGACAGUAUCGGGAGAAUAAGCUCCGGCUAACUCCGUGCCAGCAGCCGCGGUAAUACGGAGGGAGCUAGCGUUGUUCGGAAUUACUGGGCGUAAAGCGCACGUAGGCGGCGAUUUAAGUCAGAGGUGAAAGCCCGGGGCUCAACCCCGGAACUGCCUUUGAGACUGGAUUGCUAGAAUCUUGGAGAGGCGAGUGGAAUUCCGAGUGUAGAGGUGAAAUUCGUAGAUAUUCGGAAGAACACCAGUGGCGAAGGCGGCUCGCUGGACAAGUAUUGACGCUGAGGUGCGAAAGCGUGGGGAGCAAACCAGGAUUAGAUACCCUGGUAGUCCACGCCGUAAACGAUGAUAACUAGCUGCUGGGGCACAUGGUGUUUCGGUGGCGCAGCUAACGCAUUAAGUUAUCCGCCUGGGAG